UCACAAGACCUAAGUUAGCAUGCAGGAGGUUUAUUACGGCGUGUUCUUUGGAGCAACACUGUAGAAGGUACUUCGCUUUCAAAUGUGGUUACUUAUCUACCAGAAUCUAACUGAUGAAGACUUCCUUAUUUACCCUCACUGGAGAAUGAGGAUUAUUCUUGCCUUGAGUUCUUGGAUUGACUGCCCCUGAUCUUUGUCCAGAGGCUCUUCAAAGGUCAGUGUGUCAUUGAGAUGGUCACUGGUUUCUUGAAGCAUCUUCAGGCC